rnacentral:rRNA from 1 species
CAAUAGCGUAUAUUAAAGUUGUUGCAGUUAAAAAGCUCGUAGUUGAAUUUCGGGUGCUCGUAGUCGGUCCUUCAUUGGGCUGGCGCGUGUGCUCUCCCCGCCUUUGGCGGCCUUUACUGUGAAAAAAUUAGAGUGUUCAAAGCAGGCAAUCGCUUGAAUACAUUAGCAUGGAAUAAUAAGAUAGGAUCUUGUCUAUUUUGUUGGUUGCGGACAAAGAUAAUGAUUAAUAGGGAUAGUUGGGGGUGUCCGUAUUGAGCUGUCAGAGGUGAAAUUCUUGGAUUUGCUCAAGACGAACUGCUGCGAAAGCGUUCACCAAGGAUGUUUUCAUUAG